rnacentral:rRNA from 1 species
UACGUAGGGUGCGAGCGUUGUCCGGAAUUAUUGGGCGUAAAGAGCUCGUAGGCGGUCUGUCGCGUCGAUCGUGAAAACUUGGGGCUUAACCCUGAGCUUGCGGUCGAUACGGGCAUGACUGGAGUUCGGCAGGGGAGACUGGAAUUCCUGGUGUAGCGGUGAAAUGCGCAGAUAUCAGGAGGAACACCGGUGGCGAAGGCGGGUCUCUGGGCCGAUACUGACGCUGAGGAGCGCAAGCGUGGGGAGCAAACAGG